rnacentral:rRNA from 1 species
UACGGAGGAUGCGAGCGUUAUCCGGAUUUAUUGGGUUUAAAGGGUGCGUAGGCGGGAUGCCAAGUCAGCGGUAAAAAUGCGGUGCUCAACGCCGUCGAGCCGUUGAAACUGGCGUUCUGGAGUGGGCGAGAAGUAUGCGGAAUGCGUGGUGUAGCGGUGAAAUGCAUAGAUAUCACGCAGAACUCCGAUUGCGAAGGCAGCAUACCGGCGCCCUACUGACGCUGAGGCACGAAAGCGUGGGUAUCGAACAGG